rnacentral:rRNA from 1 species
CAGCCGCCGCGGGAAUACGUAGGUGGCAAGCGUUGUCCGGAAUUAUUGGGCGUAAAGGGCUCGCAGGCGGUUUCUUAAGUCUGAUGUGAAAGCCCCCGGCUCAACCGGGGAGGGUCAUUGGAAACUGGGAAACCUGAGUGCAGAAGAGGAGAGUGGAAUUCCACGCGUAGCGGUGAAAUGCGUAGAGAUGUGGAGGAACACCAGUGGCGAAGGCGACUCUCUGGUCUGUAACUGACGCUGAGGAGCGAAAGCGUGGGGAGCGAACAGGAUUAGAUACCCCCGUAGUCCCUGUCUCUUAUAC